AUACGUAGGUGGCGAGCGUUGUCCGGAAUUACUGGGCGUAAAGGAUGCGUAGGUGGAUACUUAAGUGGGAUGUGAAAUCCCCGGGCUCAACCCGGGAACUGCAUUCCAAACUGGGUAUCUAGAGUGCAGGAGAGGAAAGCGGAAUUCCUAGUGUAGCGGUGAAAUGCGUAGAUAUUAGGAGGAACACCAGUGGCGAAGGCGGUUUUCUGGACUGUAACUGACACUGAGGCAUGAAAGCGUGGGUAGCAAACAGGAUUAGAUACCCUGGUAGUCCACGCCGUAAACGAUGGGUACUAGGUGUAGGAGGUAUCGACCCCUUCUGUGCCGUAGUUAACACAAUAAGUACCCCGCCUGGGGAGUACGGUCGCAAGACUAAAACUCAAAGGAAUUGACGGGG
rnacentral:rRNA from 1 species